AUGGGGCCACACAGACAGAUGAUACUAACGCUGCUCGCCCUGGCGUUUGUGACCUACAUCUGUGAAGCAGCACUUCUCCGGAAGUCUUCUGCAGAGGACUUUCUGAGGUCUGGGCGAGAGAGGCGGGCAGUGAGAUGUCAACAAGGAGGCUGCAGCUCUGAAGACAGCGAGGCAGAAGAACUACUCGAGGCCACCUCAGAUUACGAGCAGGAAAACUCAAAGAUGUUCUUUAAUGGUGGAUCACAAGCAGGGGUGCACACGGUGAGACCCCCAAUCCGUCACGCAAGACACAGUGAAUUAUGUUUAUUCGUCAGACCCAUUUGGUAAAAAAAGAAGUCUUAAAAUGUAUCAAACUAUUAGGAUGUUUUUGGGUAACAAGACUAAAUGCUUAGUAAGGAUAUCAUUGCUGUGUGCACAAUGUGUGAUAUUUUACUGUAAUAUUCUAAUAAUAUGCACUUGAUUGAUAUAUAUGUAAUCACUACAAUAGUUUCCUGGAAGAAGGAGAGUAGGGUAUUUCCAUUGCAUGCUCACAUGUCUCAAUUGCUAACAUGUAAAGUGGGAUUUAACACGAUCCAUCUUUGGUGGGGCUUCUCUGAACUUCCUUUUCUCUUCGCGCACCUCUCAGAGGCCUGACGGCGAGCCACAGGAAGAGGGCUCAGGCAUGUAGCCCUGUGGCUCAUGGCUUCGUGAGAGUCCACAGACUGGGAAAGACAAAGACAGCCUGGGGGAAACUCCACUCUACUGCAUCACUGGAUCCAAGCACAGGUGCUCAGAGCAUGGAACGAUGUCAGAUGCUAUAAUAAUAUCAUAGAAAGUGUAUAGAGAAUAGAGUCCUGAAGUGUUUCGGAUGCUUAAUUUUGCAUAUAUAUAAAAUCACACUGAAAAUGAUUCGGUCUGAGAUGGAUAUGUUUCUCGCGUAAUUCUAACAUAGAUGGUGAUGCCGACUUUGGUGCUUUUUAAAGAAUGCUGCUGAAAGCCUCUACCUGUUGUAUAACCUGUUUUGACACUAUAGUCACGGUGCUAAAUUGACAUGAUUCAUUUUAGAGAACAGUGUUUAGAUACUACACAAAUUUAAAGGAUGAACCUCAGUGUACACAAUAUACCGUUCACUAUCAAAAGUUUAAAGGUACCUCAAUAUGUUCAAAUGAACAAAAAAAAAAAAGUAUCUGCUAUAUAAACACAAACUAUUUUUAUGUCCUUUACAAAAAGUUUGCAAUAAAAAUACAGCAUGACCUGAAAAAUACUUUUUUAUUCACUUGCAUGAAGAAAAUGCAAUGAUAUUCUUGAAAUGACUUCCUAUACCAUUUUAAUGCCAUGGUACAUGGAUAUGAUAAUCAUUCAGUACCAGGAUAUAUAUAAGUACCAAGGCAUUGCAAUCUAAUACACUCAUGUUUAGGUCAGUGUUGUUGAUAAUGUCAAAACACAUACAACACAACCUGUAGCAUUAGUGAUAAUGGUUUUCCUGUAUGGUGUAGAGAAUAAAAUCAAUGCGUUUUGACUAUUUUUUACCAGAUUUCUUUUCUUAAAUCUACUUUCUGCUGAUUUAUUUUUCAUGCAGAUGAUAUAUGAUGUCCUAUUAUAAUAAGAAAUAAAUAAAGAUUAACUGCAUAUAAAUAUUCUUUUGCUUUCUAUCCUUGAUUUACUGUAUAUCUACAAAAACUCAAUUCAAAAGUUAGCUGCAAUGCUAACACGAGUAAACAGCUUAUGUUUUUCCUGAAUAUUUCAUUCAAAUAACUGUAUCAGAUGUAUUAUGCAGCAGUAAUGUAAACUU
ensembl:lncRNA